rnacentral:rRNA from 1 species
CCUACGGGUGGCUGCAGUCGAGAAUCAUUCACAAUGGGGGAAACCCUGAUGGUGCGACGCCGCGUGGGGGAAUGAAGGUCUUCGGAUUGUAAACCCCUGUCAUGUGGGAGCAAAUUAAAAAGAUAGUACCACAAGAGGAAGAGACGGCUAACUCUGUGCCAGCAGCCCCGGUAAUACAGAGGUCUCAAGCGUUGUUCGGAAUCACUGGGCGUAAAGGGUGCGUAGGCUGUUUCGUAAGUCGUGUGUGAAAGGCGCGGGCUCAACCCGCGGACGGCACAUGAUACUGCGAGACUAGAGUAAUGGAGGGGGAACCGGAAUUCUCGCUGUAGCAGUGAAAUGCGUAGAUAUCGGGAGGAACACUCGUGGCGAAGGCGGGUUCCUGGACAUUAACUGACGCUGAGGCACGAAGGCCAGGGGAGCGAAAGGGAUUAGAUACCCCUAUAGUC